rfam:Callithrix jacchus chromosome 6, whole genome shotgun sequence
GCCGGGUGUGGUGGUGCACGCCUGUAGUCCCAGCUACUGGGGAGGCUGAAACAGGAGAAUUGCUUGAACCUAGGAGGCAGAGGUUGCAGUGAGCUGAGAUUGUGCCACUGCAUUCCAGCCUGGGUGACAGAGUGAGACUCUGUCUCAA